rnacentral:rRNA from 1 species
ACAAUGGGCGCAAGCCUGAUCCAGCCAUACCGCGUGGGUGAAGAAGGCCUUCGGGUUGUAAAGCCCUUUUGUUGGGAAAGAAAUCCAGCUGGCUAAUACCCGGUUGGGAUGACGGUACCCAAAGAAUAAGCACCGGCUAACUUCGUGCCAGCAGCCGCGGUAAUACGAAGGGUGCAAGCGUUACUCGGAAUUACUGGGCGUAAAGCGUGCGUAGGUGGUCGUUUAAGUCCGUUGUGAAAGCCCUGGGCUCAACCUGGGAACUGCAGUGGAUACUGG